UGAGCUGUUAAUCGAAAAUUAGAAUUUUGAG
rnacentral:piRNA from 1 species